AGCUUUGCAUCGUGGCAUUAUUGCAGUCAAUGAGGUUUAACCAAGGUGAAAUUAUUGCUGAUUGAAAACAGUAUUAUCAGUCUGUAAUCCUAACCCUGUAGGAAGAAAGACAGCCUAGAUGAGUGGACUGCCUGAGCCCGCGGGUUUGAGAUCAUUCCGGGAAACUUGGCGAG
rnacentral:snRNA from 1 species